rnacentral:rRNA from 1 species
AUUGAACGCUGGCGGCAUGCUUUACACAUGCAAGUCGAACGGCAGCGCGGGCUUCGGCCUGGCGGCGAGUGGCGAACGGGUGAGUAAUACAUCGGAACGUGCCCAGUAGUGGGGGAUAGCUCGGCGAAAGGCGGAUUAAUACCGCAUACGACCUGAGGGUGAAAGCGGGGGAUCUUCAGACCUCGCGCUAUUGGAGCGGCCGAUGGCAGAUUAGCUAGUUGGUGGGGUAAAGGCCUACCAAGGCGACGAUCCGUAGCUGGUCUGAGAGGACGACCGGCCACACUGGAACUGAGACACGGCCCAGACUCCUACGGGAGGCAGCAGUGGGGAAUUUUGCGCAAUGGGCGAAAGCCUGACGCAGCAACGCCGCGUGUGUGAUGAAGGCCUUCGGAUUGUAAAACACUUUUGGCAGGAACGAAAAGAACUGUACCAAUAUCACCGUUCGAUGACGGUACCCGCAGAAAAAGCACCGGCUAACUACGUG